rnacentral:rRNA from 1 species
GACGAACGCUGGCGGCGUGCUUAACACAUGCAAGUCGAACGGAAAGGCCCUGCUUUUGUGGGGUGCUCGAGUGGCGAACGGGUGAGUAACACGUGAGUAACCUGCCCUUGACUUUGGGAUAACUUCAGGAAACUGGGGCUAAUACCGGAUAGGAGCUCCUGCUGCAUGGUGGGGGUUGGAAAGUUUCGGCGGUUGGGGAUGGACUCGCGGCUUAUGAGCUUGUUGGUGUGGUAGUGGCUUACCAAGGCUUUGACGGGUAGCCGGCCUGAGAGGGUGAACGGCCACAUUGGGACUGAGAUACGGACCAGACUCCUACGGGAGGCAGCAGUGGGGAAUAUUGCACAAUGGGCGGAAGCCUGAUGCAGCAACGCCGCGUGCGGGAUGACGGCCUUCGGGUUGUAAACCGCUUUCGCCUGUGACGAAGAGUGCGUGACGGUAAUGGGUAAAGAAGCAACGGCUAACUACGUG